ensembl:lncRNA LINC00635 long intergenic non-protein coding RNA 635
GGUCUCUUCAGCAUAGCAACAGCAGCGUAGCUGAACAUCUUACGGAUGGCCCAGGGCUCCAAAGGCUCGUUUCCUAAGUGAGAGAGAGCCUGGCUGAAGCUGUAUUACCAUUCAUUCUCCAGCCUCCGAAGUCUCAAAGCAUCACUUCCACCAUACUCUAACUGUCAAGACAAACACAAAGGCCCAGAAAGAAGAAUACACUAUCGAUGUUCCUUUUAAACAAGUAUUUGAGUAAAAGCGAUGUUUCCAAUGUGUGUCAGAAAGUGAAUACUUGUAUAUUUCCGCACGGUUAGAGCUGAGCUUUCCGAGCAAAUUUUACUGGGACCCGGUUGAAAGACAGGUCUUGGAAGUGAAAUGAUGACUGACUAGAUGAAACUGCCAGACUGUCUUCUGAAGUGGCUAUAAUAUUUACACUCCCAUCAGCAGUGUAGAAGGGGUCUCACUAUGUUGUCUGGAGUGCUGUGGUGGAGUGGAGUGGCUAUUCACAGCUGAGUUUGCAGAGUAAACCACUACCCUGAAAUCUGGAAAGGCAGGUGCACCCACAGAUCCUCAGCUGAGAUCCAAUUACCUGAAAUAGAAGCUGCCAUUAGGAACACUUAAAAGAGCCUGUUCUGCUGGGACACAGAAUCACUUGCUCCAUCUCAUACAUUGAUGAUGAUUAAUUUGUAUGUGUACCUUCCAAAAAAGAUGGUUGUGUUUGAAUGGAGGCCUUCUGGACAGGAAAAUUGCAAAGUACAAUUAACAUUUGAGUCUGUCUGAGUCAUGAAGAAAUGGAGAUUACUGAAAAUAAUUCAUUUUGGUAUCUUCUUACAUCCUGAGAGACUAAUCUUUCCAAGUUCAUCUGAGGCUCCUCUUCUCCAUGACAACCUCAUCCAGGGAUUUCUUCCUGUCCUGGUGUUUUAUGACAUAAUCACAUCCUUCCUGAGAUAAUGAGCACACAAUUGCCUGGAUACCUGAAGGAAUGGAGACAGCGGCAGAAAACACUGCAGAGAGGUGGAAACAUCCGUUAAUAUUUUAAAAUCCCAUUACUGCUACCAACAAUAAUAAUGGAUGCAUAGAAAUAGAUCUGGAUUAGCUGAGCUUGAAACAGUCCAUCUCACACACACACAAAAGAAUUUCAGAUACAGUGAACCCACAUGUUGAAGCUUUCUAGUAUAAUAAAAAUUUCAACUGUUCUGUUGAAUCAUCUGCCUGAUUGGAGGCUACAGAAAAGAUGUCAUCUUAGGAGUGCUUGCUCUGAGUGAGGCUCAUCUUCAAAUCUGAAUGACCACAAGGAGAUUUGAUUAUACAUGUGAACACCUCAGAAGGCACAGCCCACCCAGAAGGCAGACAGGUCAGGCUGCUUUUUCUUCAUUGCUUGGAUUCAAUCCUCCGGGCGGCUCAGGCUCAAACAUAACUUAAGCAUGAUUAAACUUUAGAAGAAGCUGCCAGGAAGACUGUGAAAUCUUCAUGCCCAAGGAUCCCUAAAAUUAGGAGCAACAACCACUUGGCUCAGACGGUUUAUGGAGGCAAAGGUUUGGAUGGGAUUAGAGAUUUCUAAAUGUGAGUUCGUGUCCUCUGCCAGACCACCUUACUUCCACCAUUCCUCAGCAAAUCAAGAAAAACAGGAGAAAAGACAUGCCUUUCCAUAAGUUAAAUCUAUUCUGUUUUAAUUCUAUAUUAUAUCUGCUGUACAACUUCUUUUGUUUGUAACACCAUAUUGUUGCUAGUAACUGGAAAUUAAUUUUCACAUGCCUCAGCUUAGAAAAAUAAAAAGCAGCCCUGCAUCAAUCCCAA